CACACAGACACCAUGACUUUCAUCACCAUCUUCAUCUGGACACUGACCUGCUGCUGUUUUAAAGAGUCCAGAGGACAGGUGACAGUGACUCAGACUCCUGUAGUGAAAUCUGCUCUUCCAGGACAAACAGUGACCAUCAACUGUAAAACCAACAUUGUACCAGAUGAAAAUGGAGAUAAAAUAUAUGACAUAUUCUGGUACCAACUGAAAUCUGGAGAAACUCCUAAACUCCUGAUUUACUGGGGAGAUCGAUUAGAGUCAGGAACUCCAGAUCGUUUCAGUGGCAGUGGAUCUGAGACUGACUUCACUCUGACCAUCAGAGGAGUCCAGACUGAGGAUGCAGGAGAUUAUUACUGUCAGAGUGCACAUCAAACCGGUGGCUUGUGGUGGACUUUUGGUGGAGGAAUCAAACUGGAUGUUGGCAGUGAGUAUCCAAACAUAUGGCAUAGUUAUAUGUUGGAGAAUAAGCAAACUCUUUAG